CACGGGGUGGGGGGGCGGAGGGGGCGUCCCCUCCCUCCGCCCCUCCCCCUUCCGUCUGCCCCCCCCCCAGACACUGCACAGGGAUCAGAAUGUCACGUGUGAAAGGCUCCACCAGAGGUCAAUGCGCCACGUUACUCUCACCCGGCGGCUCCUCUGAAGUUCCAUUGACUGGAUGCAGCCUGAUGUGCUUUGCUCUCAUUCAAGGUCAAGACCAAUUCUAUAUAUCCAUUCACCUCAAGGUAAAAUGACAUUUCGAUGCCCUCUCAAGGGCUGAAUGCCGGCAAGUUUGGUGGAGGAAAGAAAGACACCGGGUAAAGGAAAAAAGAUGGUGGGAGUGAAGGAGGAGCUUCUUUCUAAACUCUUCAGCUACUUGGGAAAGAACCUUCAGAAGUAGAACAAUGUGCAGUCAUUUUACCUUUGAGGAAACCAAGGAAUGGACUACACACCACCUGACCCUAAAGCCUGUGCUCUUCUUCUUGCUGAUGGCUUUUUCAACCUGCUUCCACACAAGAGUCUUUCCUAAACAUUUCAAGCUGACUGGCACAGGAGAGCAACCUAUCCUGUUACCCACUGGCUAGUGUUUUGUGGUCUGAAUGGCAAGACAUGGAGAGGUGCCCCGGAUUUUACAUACUCUUAAAAGACAGCUAGACUAAUUAAGCUUUGUAUUCACAGAAUAAUAUAUGUUAGGCCACAGAACAAGCUUCAACUCUUUUAAGGUUUAAAAAAAAAAUCCUUAAACCCUUUUUAACAGUCACCUUCUGCAAAGGAAGUAUGGGGCCAAAUGAUUCUCGUUUUGUUUUGGAACAUUUCGAAUGAUGUUCCAAAGCAGUUUAGAUUCAUGAAAUUAGGUGA